AUUGAACGCUGGCGGCAGGCCUAACACAUGCAAGUCGAGCGGAUGAAGGGAGCUUGCUCCUGGAUUCAGCGGCGGACGGGCGAGUAAUGCCUAGGAAUCUGCCUGGUCGUGGGGGAUAACGUCCCGAAACGGGCGCUAAUACCGCAUCCGUCCUGAGGGAGAACGUGGGGGAUCUUCGGACCUCACGCUAUCAGAUGAGCCUAGGUCGGAUUAGCUAGUUGGUGGGGUAAAGGCCUACCAAGGCGACGAUCCGUAACUGGUCUGAGAGGAUGAUCAGUCACACUGGAACUGAGACACGGUCCAGACUCCUACGGGAGGCAGCAGUGGGGAAUAUUGGACAAAGGGCGAAAGCCUGAUCCAGCCAUGCCGCGUGUGUGAAGAAGGUCUUCGGAUUGUAAAGCACUUUAAGUUGGGAGGAAGGGCAGUAAGUUAAUACCUUGCUGUUUUGACGUUACCAACAGAAUAAGCACCGGCUAACUUCGUG
rnacentral:rRNA from 1 species